AUCAAAUUUGAAUCCAAUUUGGAAUUGGACUCAAAAAGUUCAAAGAGAGAAAAAUUGUCAGAUUCUCACGUUAUAAAAAGAAGGAAAAGGAAAAAGAAAAGAAGAAAAAAGAAAAGUUUCGUUCCUUAACAGAAAAAGGAAAUUUUGAAUUUCCUUACAAAAUUUUCCAGAGAAAGAAAUUUGGAAUUUCAUACAAAAUUUUUCCAUAAGUUUAUUUUUGGAAUAAAAUUUUACCCUAGGAAAAUUAUUACAUCAACCAAAUAGGAAAAGGGUUUGUAGGUGAUACUAUAUAAAGGGUGAUGGAGAAAAUUUGUAUGGUUCUUUUUUACAUCAACCAAAUAGGAAAAGGGUUUAUAGGUGAUGCUAUAUAAAGGGUGAUGGAGAAAAUUUGCAAGAGUUUUUUUUUUCCGGUUUUAGUCUUUAAUUUUUCUUGAGAAAAAACCCUACUUUGUGAAAGUGAGGGUGCAAUUCAAAGCCAAGAGAGAAAAUACAAUUGCAAGAAAAGUGUUUCUUGUUCUUCUAAUU
rnacentral:lncRNA from 1 species